UUAGUCGGUCUCGGAGCAAACGAAGUGAAGCAUGUUAUUUAAUACGACAAUACGCGUAUAACCUUACCAGACCUUGCAUAUCUAGCUCUUUUUAUUUUUUUAAUUUGAGUGAGUGAGUAUAUUUUUAAUCUUUUUUGAAAAUAAUACGCAGAUACAGGUGUUGCAUGGCUGUCGUCA
rnacentral:rRNA from 1 species